rnacentral:lncRNA from 1 species
UACGGGCCAGCCCUGUGGUUUCCUCCUCUGUGCUGGGGAGUUCAUGGGAGUGACCCCCCCAACCUGGUGCUGCCAGCCUGGGAAGGCGCAGGAGUGAAGGCAGUGGGGACUUCUGGGGAGUCAUACUCCAGUGCCUCCUGAUCAUCGAGGGACAAGGGGAACUGGAACAGAGGCCCCCCACAGCUCAGGCCACCUGCCCUGGGACCCCAGCUGGCCUAGUGAGUGCCUAGCCCUCAGACCUUCAUUGUUCCUCCUUCCUGGGGGUGGAGAGAGAGACCACCAAUGGGGGGGAGGGUCCUCCUUUUCCCACAGAGGCCCACAGAAAGAACCAUCUCUCCCCUUCUCUCCACACCUUCACCAGUGCCUGGUGAUGAUGCAGUCUUCUACCCUGGUAUCUCCCUCCUCAUGUCUGGGCUUGCCUUUCUCAUUAAGAAGCAGAAGGGAGAGGCCUGUGCCACAUUCAGCCACCCAGUGCCACACCCAUAAAUUCACCAUCCUACACCAUCUACCCCACCUUGUUCUUCUAGGUUGGGAAAUAUGCAUCAUGAAGCUGGGUGUGGGGGUGGGGAGAUGGCAGGGUAAUCACUAAAGUGGCUGCAGGGGGAUUCCUACUGUGUCCCCAUUUGGAUCCCAUCGUUGCUUCUGUAGCUUGCUGCAAACCUGGGCACAGGGAGCCAGGGCUUCCUGGACGGCCUGAAGGUACACAGUACACACUGGCUUUGUAGAUAGUGUCAUCAUGAGGCUGGAGUGCCUUCCCACCUGGAGUGUGGUGCUUCAGAACCAGGCCCACCUCCCUUCUACUGAGCAGUCAUUAGGAGCCAGGAGCCUGCCUUGCCAGGCUUUUAGAGGAAAUGUCAUUCUAAGACUAAGAAACAGGUUCAGAGGGGUGUGCAGACAGGCUCCUGAUUCUGAACACUGGCCUUAGCAGAGGCCCAUGGUUGGGGCUACAGGGAUGGCGGGAUUGAUGGGCCAGGAGGAGCUGAGCUGGAGCCUGACUGCACAGCCAGGAGAUCCAGCAAGGCUCUGGUGUGACCCAUUUACUCUCCACCUGCCUCUUCCCACCCUGUGUGCACCUGAGCCCCUUCUGAGUCUGGUUCUCCCAAUUCUUCUCCCUGGACCCAUUUUGCUGCUUAGGAAAACCGAGGUGCAUUUUGUAGGGGAAAAAAAAAAUCCAUGUUGCUUAAGGAUUUUAUUUGUUUCUCAUUGUGAGUGGUUGUAAGCCACGAUGUGGUUGCUGGAAUUUGAACUCAUGACCUCUGGAGGAGCAGUCAGUGCUCUUAACCGCUGAGCCAUUUUCACCAGCCCUAGGAUUUUAUUCUUUACCCCCACCCUCCCCCACCUCACUUGUUAUGGGAUCAGAAGACAUUUUGGAGUUCUUGAAAUUUGUUCUUCUUCAACAUGGGACAUUUGUGUGGUGAUUAUACUGACUCUGGGGCAGAAAUCAGUGGGUAGUAGGUGUGCUCCGAAGCCAAGAGUGACCUCAGACUUGACUCUGAGGACAUUGGAUCCUGUAGGACUGGUGGCACAGGCCUUUACUCUCAGCUAUUUAGAAGGCCAGCCAGAAAAAGCAGGUCAUUGUUACAUUGUUACUUUUUUGUUUGUUUGUUUUUGUUUUUCAAGACAGGGUUUCUCUGUAUAACUCUGGCUGUCCUGGAACUCACUUUGUAGACCAGGCUGGCCUCGAACUCAGAAAUCCGCCUGCCUCUGCCUCCCAGGUGCUGGGAUUAAAGGCGUGCACCUUAUUCUUUACAACUUAGCUAGACUCUAGCUCAAAGAGAGAGAGAGAGAGAGAGAGAGAGAGAGAGAGAGAGAGAGAGGUAAAAUGUCUGGGGGUGUAGGAUAAACUCUAGGAUCAAGUUCUGGGCCUUGUUAGUAGGUGUGUAAAUGGAUACAGAAGUACCAGACACAUCCAAGUCUUGUGGCAAGUGGGCAGACCCAGGCAUUGAUCUGAAACAAUGUGAGUUCUCUGUAUCUUGCCCUAUGACCCCAGGCUUCCCUCAGAGGAUAGUUGGGGUUGGGGAUUAUUGGCUGACACAUAUGUAUGCCCUGGGGUGAGGGUCAACUGAGGUGGUAGAUCUACCAGGUCUCCUGAACGCAAACACUGUUUUCAGAGGAGCCUGUAUUCUUGUGUGGGUGAUGUAAUUGUCCACUCCCAGCAGCAACCAUCCUCCCUGAAGACUGCCACUGGCCUAUAGAUGCCACCGACCUGUAAAUGCCACCUUCCACGUGACCAUCUCAGUUCCUGGCUCUGCAACCCAAGGUCCUCCGGAGUCAGGGCUCCAGCCCAUCAGUAUCCUGCCCCACCAGGGAGCAAAGGACUGCUGAUCACCCCCCCCCCCCCCCGCUCCCAGGCCACUGCGCAGGCGUACCGUGGCUCCGCGCCAUCUUCCCACUUGCUAUGGCCUCUCCCCACAGCUUGCCCAUCUGCCCUUAGAUUUCCUUUCUGAACACUGCUAGCCUCUGCUCUUCGGAUUUCCAUGGGCGAGCCUGCAGCUAGGUCUCCAGCACAUGGAGGACAGCCAUGUGACCCAGCUACCUCCCGUUUAUGCCCCUACAUACUUCUCUUGGCUUCCCAGUGAGGUUUCCAGCAGCGGUGGCCCUUGUCAGCCUUUUACACAGGUACCCUUCACUUUCAGAUCUCCCAGCUUGUUCCCACUUGUGUCCAUCAACUGAGGAGAAAGUCGGAGAGGAGUCAGGCAGUCCUUGGCCCUCAGAACCUGGUACAGAAGAAAACACAGGAGCUCCAGCACCGUGCACUGGCGUUUUGGGUGUGACGCAGUUGGCAUGCUAAUUCUGUUUUAUCGAUGAUAAAGAAGCUGAGGCAGAGAAACCCGGGCAUUUAUGCAGCGGGGUGGGGAUUGUGGGCCUUCAGGAAAGUCACUUCCCUUCUUGAGUCCUGGCCUGAAGGAGCAUUUGGGGCUUGGAGUGGAGCCGCCCACGAGUCUCACAAUCAUCACCACUGAGUGACAUUAGCGAAUUUAUUUGACCUCCCGCCUGAAAGCCUGGUGUAGCCUGGCAGAGCUGACUGCCCACCCGCAAGAUGGGAGCCUGGUUACUUACAAGCUGCAAGUGAUCCUGAAGUAAGGUUUGUUGUUUGUUUUUGUUUUUUGUUUUUCCUCCAGUCUACAACUCCCAAGAAGACUCUCAGUGGCUCCUCUGGCACUCUCAGAGAGUCCUCCCUGGCCCCCGCAGCCUCGCUGGCAUCCUCAGACUUCUUGCUGGACCUUUUUAAUGCAGACCCCAGCUCCUUACCAGCCCGUGGCAGGAAACCCCUCCAUUCUGGCAACCUCGCUGUCCUGGAGGCCCCGAGUGCUGUGCAGCAGCGCCCCCUCCUGGCGCAUCUUGUCAGGACAGCUGGCUUCCCUGAGAUCUACAGUUUGAUUGUUCAGACACUGCCUAAGAAGGCACCACACCUACCUUACUUAUAAAGAGCGACACCACCAGCCACCAGCUGCAGCAGCCUCUCAACCCUGGUGCAGCGACCUGGCAGCCAGAGUCCUCAAACGGCCAAUCCACCCUCACUCCCCAGCCACAUGCUAUCACGCAGCUCCCGAAGUCUCACCGGGUGGACGACAGACUGAAAAUCAUCUGAGCAUUCUCUGGGCAGAGCCCAGGGAACUGUCUUUGCGGAAGGAACCCUGUUCCCAAUGACAAGCUCACAGAGCAAACCUGAAGUCAGUGUGGCCCUUUUCUCCCUCCAGUUACCUCCCACAGCCUGCACAAGAACAAUACAGGCCCAAAGCACAUGUGGGGCCUGUCACAGGCAUCAGUCAAAUGUCUUUCUGUUGGUGGGGGAAGGGGUCUAGUGAUCAGCACAAAAGCCUGGAGGCUGAAAAGAAGCCAGGAUUCUGUGGGACUCUGGGAAAGGCGCCUGGGGACCUCCUUAGCUCUGCCAUGAUUAGGACUCCCUCUGACAUAAAGUGGCUGGCCCUUUAGUCAUUG